rnacentral:rRNA from 1 species
AGUGGCGGACGGGUGAGUAACACGUUAGUACCUGCCCUCUAGUGGGGGAUAACUGCCCGAAAGGGUAGCUAAUACCGCAUGUGAUCGUUUACGAUCAAAGCAGUAAUGCGCUAGAGGAGGGGCUUGCGUCUGAUUAGCUAGUUGGUGAGGUAAUGGCUCACCAAGGCGAUGAUCAGUAGCUGGUUCGAGAGGAUGACCAGCCACACUGGGACUGAGAUACGGCCCAGACUCCUACGGGAGGCAGCAGUGAGGAAUCUUCCGCAAUGGACGAAAGUCUGACGGAGCAACGCCGCGUGCAGGAUGACGGCCUUCGGGUUGUAAACUGCUUUUCUGAAGGAAGAUAAUGACGGUACUUCAGGAAUAAGGACCGGCUAACUACGUGCCAGCAGCCGCGGUAAUACGUAGGGUCCAAGCGUUAUCCGGAAUCACUGGGCGUAAAGCGUGCGUAGGUGGUUCGUUAAGUCUGUCGUGAAAUCCCCGGGCUCAACCUGGGAAUGGCGAUGGAUACUGGCGGGCUAGAGUGCGGUAGAGGAGAGUGGAAUUCCCGGUGUAGCAGUGAAAUGCGUAGAGAUCGGGAGGAACAUCAGUUGCGAAGGCGGCUCUCUGGACCAGCACUGACACUGAGGCACGAAAGCGUGGGGAGCAAACAGGAUUAGAUACCCUGGUAGUCCACGCCCU